UCCCGUCGCUUUCACCUUCAUCUUCUCCAUCAUUCUCUUCACACUCUACUUCCUCCUGUUCAGCUCUUUCAACAUCAUGAAUUCCAACUAGCAAGCUGUAGUCCAUGAGUUUUAGCUGAGCAAGGAACUCAACGUCCUUUUUGAGUUUCUCAAGGAACAUCCUUUUGUUAUUUUCAUCAAUAUGAAUCUUUUGGCCAUCGUUAAUAAAGUCGUUGUCUUUGAAUGUUGGCAGCUCUUUGGCCUUUUCUUUGUCACUGGCUUCUCGAGCCACAGUAGAGCCCUUUAGAUCGUAUUUUCUAUAAACAGAUAAACGAUGGCUGAACACAUUCCUUGUAACAAUCAUAUAUAUUUC
rnacentral:lncRNA from 1 species